rnacentral:rRNA from 1 species
CUUUCUUUGCUGGCGACCGGCGCACGGGUGAGUAACACGUAUCCAACCUGCCCUUUACUCGGGGAUAGCCUUUCGAAAGAAAGAUUAAUACCCGAUAGUAUAAUGAUUCCGCAUGGUUUCAUUAUUAAAGGAUUCCGUAAAGGAUGGGGAUGCGUUCCAUUAGGUUGUUGGUGAGGUAACGGCUCACCAAGCCUUCGAUGGAUAGGGGUUCUGAGAGGAAGGUCCCCCACAUUGGAACUGAGACACGGUCCAA